rnacentral:rRNA from 1 species
AUUGAACGCUGGCGGCAGGCUUAACACAUGCAAGUCGAGCGAGCGGCGGACGGGUGAGCAAGGUCUGGGACACUGCCUGAUGGAGGGGGUUCACUACUGGACACGGUUGCUAAUACCGCAUACCAUCAGAUGGGCCCGGUUGGGAUUAGCUAGUGGGUGGGGUAAUGGCUCACCUAGGCGACGAUCCGUACCUGGUCUGAGAGGAUGACCAGCCACACUGGAACUGAGACACGGUCCAGACUCCUACGGGAGGCAGCAGUGGGGAAUAUUGGACAAUGGGCGAAAGCCUGAUGCAGCCAUGCCGCGUGUGUGAAGAAGGCCUUCGGAUUGUAAAGCACUUUCAGCUGGGAGGCGUUACUCGCAGAAGAAGCACCGGCUAACUCCGUGCCAGCAGCCGCGGUAAUUC